rnacentral:sRNA from 1 species
UAGAUUGGUUCUGCUAAAGCGGGUGCUA